rnacentral:rRNA from 1 species
GUGCCAGCCGCCGCGGUAAUACGAAGGGGGCUAGCGUUGCUCGGAAUCACUGGGCGUAAAGCGCACGUAGGCGGAUCGCUAAGUCAGGGGUGAAAUCCUGGAGCUCAACUCCAGAACUGCCUUUGAUACUGGCAAUCUCGAGUCCGGGAGAGGUGAGUGGAACUGCGAGUGUAGAGGUGAAAUUCGUAGAUAUUCGCAAGAACACCAGUGGCGAAGGCGGCUCACUGGCCCGGUACUGACGCUGAGGUGCGAAAGCGUGGGGAGCAAACAGGAUUAGAAACCCCUGUAGUCC